GACGAACGCUGGCGGCGUGCUUAACACAUGCAAGUCGAACGGAAAGGCCCUGCUUUUGUGGGGUGCUCGAGUGGCGAACGGGGGAGAAACACGUGAGUAACCUGCCCUUGACUUUGGGAUAACUCCAGGAAACUGGGGCUAAUACCGGAUAGGAGCUCCUGCUCCAGGGGGGGGGUUGGAAAGUUUCGGCGGUUGGGGAUGGACUCGCGGCUUAUCAGCUUGUUGGUGGGGUAGUGGCUUACCAGGCCUUUGACGGGUAGCCGGCCUGAGAGGGUGACCGGCCACAUUGGGACUGAGAUACGGCCCAGACUCCUACGGGAGGCAGCAGUGGGGAAUAUUGCACAAUGGGCGGAAGCCUGAUGCAGCAACGCCGCGUGCGGGAUGACGGCCUUCGGGUUGUAAACCGCUUUCGCCUGUGACGAAGCGUGAGUGACGGUAAUGGGUAAAGAAGCACCGGCUAACUACGUG
rnacentral:rRNA from 1 species